AAGACCCCAUGGAGCUUUACUGUAGCUUGACAUUGGGUCUUGGUACUACAUGUACAGGAUAGGUGGGAGGCUUUGAAACCAGGACGCCAGUUUUGGCGGAGCCAUCCUUGGGAUACCACCCUUGUAGUACUGGGACUCUAACCAUAGGCCAUGAAUCUGGUCUUGGGACACUGUCAGGUGGGCAGUUUGACUGGGGCGGUCGCCU
rnacentral:rRNA from 1 species